rnacentral:rRNA from 1 species
UACGUAGGGUCCGAGCGUUGUCCGGAAUUACUGGGCGUAAAGAGCUCGUAGGUGGUUUGUCGCGUUGUUCGUGAAAACUCACAACUCAAUUGUGGGCGUGCGGGCGAUACGGGCAGACUUGAGUACUGCAGGGGAGACUGGAAUUCCUGGUGUAGCGGUGGAAUGCGCAGAUAUCAGGAGGAACACCGGUGGCGAAGGCGGGUCGCUGGGCUCUACCUGACGCUGAGGCGCGAAAGCGUGGGGAGCGAACCGG